UACGAGGGGGGCGAGCGUUGUUCGGAAUUAUUGGGCGUAAAGGGCGCGUAGGCGGUGCUGUAAGUCUGUAGUGAAAUCUCUGGGCUCAACUCAGAGUCUGCUAUAGAAACUGCAGUGCUGGAGUGUGGGAGAGGUGAGUGGAAUUCCCGGUGUAGCGGUGAAAUUCGUAGAUAUUCGCAAGAACACCAGUGGCGAAGGCGGCUCACUGGCCCGAUACUGACGCUGAGGCACGAAAGCGUGGGGAGCAAACAGG
rnacentral:rRNA from 1 species